rnacentral:tRNA from 1 species
GGGAGUAUAGCUCAACUGGCAGAGCAGCGCCCUCUUAAGGCGAAUGUUGCAGGUUCGAUCCCUGCUACUCCCA